rnacentral:rRNA from 1 species
UACGAAGGGGGCUAGCGUUGCUCGGAAUUACUGGGCGUAAAGGGCGCGUAGGCGGCACUGUUAGUCAGGCGUGAAAGUCCUGGGCUCAACCUGGGAACUGCGCUUGAUACGGCAGAGCUAGAGGAUGGAAGAGGGUCGCGGGAAUUCCCAGUGUAGAGGUGAAAAUUCGUAGAUAUUGGGAAGAACACCGGUGGCGAAGGCGGCGACCUGGUCCAUUACUGACGCUGAGGCGCGACAGCGUGGGGAGCAAACAGG